AGCCAAGGAUGACUUGCCUGU
rnacentral:siRNA from 1 species